rnacentral:rRNA from 1 species
AUUGAACGCUGGCGGCAGGCCUAACACAUGCAAGUCGAACGGUAACAGGAAGAAGCUUGCUUCUUUGCUGACGAGUGGCGGACGGGUGAGUAAUGUCUGGGAAACUGCCUGAUGGAGGGGGAUAACUACUGGAAGCGGUAGCUAAUACCGCAUAACGUCGCAAGACCAAAGAGGGGGACCUUCGGGCCUCUUGCCAUCGGAUGUGCCCAGAUGGGAUUAGCUAGUAGGUGGGGUAACGGCUCACCUAGGCGACGAUCCCUAGCUGGUCUGAGAGGAUGACCAGCCACACUGGAACUGAGACACGGUCCAGACUCCUACGGGAGGCAGCAGUGGGGAAUAUUGCACAAUGGGCGCAAGCCUGAUGCAGCCAUGCCGCGUGUAUGAAGAAGGCCUUCGGGUUGUAAAGUACUUUCAGCGGGGAGGAAGGGAGUAAAGUUAAUACCUUUACUCAUUGACGUUACCCGCAGAAGAAGCACCGGCUAACUCCGUG